GACGAACGCUGGCGGCGUGCUUAACACAUGCAAGUCGAACGAAGAACGAUGGAAGCUUGCUUCUAUCAAUCUUAGUGGCGAACGGGUGAGUAACGCGUAAUCAACCUGCCCUUCAGAGGGGGACAACAGUUGGAAACGACUGCUAAUACCGCAUACGAUCUAAUCUCGGCAUCGAGGAUAGAUGAAAGGUGGCCUCUACAUGUAAGCUAUCACUGAAGGAGGGGAUUGCGUCUGAUUAGCUAGUUGGAGGGGUAACGGCCCACCAAGGCGAUGAUCAGUAGCCGGUCUGAGAGGAUGAACGGCCACAUUGGGACUGAGACACGGCCCAGACUCCUACGGGAGGCAGCAGUGGGGAAUCUUCCGCAAUGGACGAAAGUCUGACGGAGCAACGCCGCGUGAGUGAUGACGGCCUUCGGGUUGUAAAGCUCUGUUAAUCGGGACGAAAGGCCUUCUUGCGAAUAGUGAGAAGGAUUGACGGUACCGGAAUAGAAAGCCACGGCUAACUACGUG
rnacentral:rRNA from 1 species